rnacentral:lncRNA from 1 species
AUGACAUUUUCGUCUUUUGAGCUUCUAGUCAUGAAAUCUAUGCAGCCUACUCAAUCACUUUUUAUAGCUACUGUUUACAGGCCUCCUGGGCCAUAUACAGCGUUUCUCACUGAGUUCCCUGAAUUCCUAUCGGACCUUGUAGUCAUAGCAGAUAAUAUUCUAAUCUUUGGUGACUUUAAUAUUCACAUGGAAAAGUCCACAGACCCACUCCAAAAGGCUUUCGGAGCCAUCAUCGACUCAGUGGGUUUUGUCCAACAUGUCUCUGGACCCACUCACUGUCACAGUCAUACGCUGGACCUAGUUUUGUCCCAUGGAAUAAAUGUGGUGGAUCUUAAUGUUUUUCCUCAUAAUCUUGGACUAUCGGACCACCAUUUUAUUACGUUUGCAAUUGCAACAAAUAAUCUGCUUAGACCCCAACCAAGGAACAUCAAAAGUCGUGCUAUAAAUUCACAGACAACACAAAGAUUCCUUGAUGCCCUUCCAGACUCCCUCUGCCUACCCAAGGACGCCAGAGGACAAAAAUCAGUUAACCACCUAACUGAGGAUCUCAAUUUAACCUUGCGCAAUACCGUAGAUGCAGUUGCACCCCUAAAAACUAAAAAAAUGUCUCAUAAGAAACUAGCUCCCUGGUACACAGAAAAUACCCGAGCUCUGAAGCAAGCUUCCAGAAAAUUGGAACGGAAAUGGCGCCACACCAAACUGGAAGGCUUCCGACUAGCUUGGAAGGACGGUACCGUGCAGUACCGUAGAGCCCUUACUGCUGCUCGAUCAUCCUAUUUUUCUAACUUAAUUGAGGAAAAUAAAAACAACCCGAAAUUCCUUUUUAAUACUGUCGCAAAGCUAACUAAAAAGCAGCAUUCCCCAAGAGAGGAUGACUUUCACUUUAGCAGUGAUAAAUUCAUGAACUUCUUUGAGGAAAGGAUUAUGAUUAUUAGAAAGCAAAUUACGGACUCCUCUUUAAACCUGCGUAUUCCUCCAAACCUCAGUUGUCCUGAGUCUGCACAACUCUGCCAGGACCUAGGAUCAAGAGAGACGCUCAAGUGUUUUAGUACUAAGUAUCUCUUGACACAAUGA